CCCUUAGAUGUUCUGGGCCGCACGCGCGCUACACUGAUGCAUUCAACGAGUCUAAAACCUGCUCUGAUAGGGGUGGGUAAUCUUUUGAAUGUGCAUCGUGAUUGGGAUAGAUGAUUGCAAUUUUUCAUCUUCAACGAGGAAUGCCUAGUAAACGCAAGUCAUCAACUUGCAUUGAUUACGUCCCUGCCCUUUGUACACACCGCCCGUCGCUCCUACCGAUUGAAUGAUCCGAUGAAUAUCAUGGAUUGAGGAUGCAAGUAGGUUCGCCUAUCUUCAUCUUCGAGAAGUGAAGUAAAUCUUAUCAUUUAGAGGAAGGAGAAGUCGUAACA
rnacentral:rRNA from 1 species